rnacentral:rRNA from 1 species
AUUAAGAGCUUGCUCUUAUGAAGUUAGCGGCGGACGGGUGAGUAACACGUGGGUAACCUGCCCAUAAGACUGGGAUAACUCCGGGAAACCGGGGCUAAUACCGGAUAACAUUUUGAACCGCAUGGUUCGAAAUUGAAAGGCGGCUUCGGCUGUCACUUAUGGAUGGACCCGCGUCGCAUUAGCUAGUUGGUGAGGUAACGGCUCACCAAGGCAACGAUGCGUAGCCGACCUGAGAGGGUGAUCGGCCACACUGGGACUGAGACACGGCCCAGACUCCUACGGGAGGCAGCAGUAGGGAAUCUUCCGCAAUGGACGAAAGUCUGACGGAGCAACGCCGCGUGAGUGAUGAAGGCUUUCGGGUCGUAAAACUCUGUUGUUAGGGAAGAACAAGUGCUAGUUGAAUAAGCUGGCACCUUGACGGUACCUAACCAGAAAGCCACGGCUAACUACGUGCCAGCAGCCGCGGUAAUACGUAGGUGGCAAGCGUUAUCCGGAAUUAUUGGGCGUAAAGCGCGCGCAGGUGGUUUCUUAAGUCUGAUGUGAAAGCCCACGGCUCAACCGUGGAGGGUCAUUGGAAACUGGGAGACUUGAGUGCAGAAGAGGAAAGUGGAAUUCCAUGUGUAGCGGUGAAAUGCGUAGAGAUAUGGAGGAACACCAGUGGCGAAGGCGACUUUCUG